ensembl:rRNA 5S_rRNA 5S ribosomal RNA
GCUUACGGUCACACAUACCCCUGAGAAUGCCAUAUCUCGUCUGAUCUGCGGAAGCUAAGCAUGGGUUUUGGCCUGGUAAGUACUUGGUGGGAGACCACCUGGGAAUACCAGGUGCUGGUAAGGC